GACGAACGCUGGCGGCGUGCUUAACACAUGCAAGUCGAACGGUGAAGCGCCUUCCUUUUUGGUGGGUGUGGAUGAGUGGCGAACGGGUGAGUAACACGUGAGUAACCUGCCCCCUUCUUCUGGAUAACCGCAUGAAAGUGUGGCUAAUACGGGAUAUUCUGGGUCUGUCGCAUGAUGGGUCUGGGAAAGAUAUUGUUUCGGUGGGGGUUGGGCUCGCGGCCUAUCAGCUUGUUGGUGGGGUGAUGGCCUACCAAGGCGGUGACGGGUAGCCGGCCUGAGAGGGUGGACGGUCACACUGGGACUGAGACACGGCCCAGACUCCUACGGGAGGCAGCAGUGGGGAAUAUUGCACAAUGGGCGCAAGCCUGAUGCAGCGACGCCGCGUGAGGGAUGGAGGCCUUCGGGUUGUGAACCUCCUUCGCCAGUGAAGCAGGCCUGCCUCGUUUGUGGGUGGGUUGACGGUAGCUGGAUAAGAAGCGCCGGCUAACUACGUG
rnacentral:rRNA from 1 species